rnacentral:rRNA from 1 species
UACGUAGGGGGGCAAGCGUUGUCCGGAUUUAUUGGGCGUAAAGAGCGUGUAGGCGGCCUGACAGGUCUGCUGUGAAAACUCGAGGCUCAACCUCGAGAUGUCGGCGGAAACCGUCUGGCUAGAGUCCGGAAGAGGAGAGUGGAAUUCCUGGUGUAGCGGUGAAAAUGCGCAGAUAUCAGGAGGAACACCAAUUGCGAAGGCAGCUCGCUGGGACGUUACUGACGCUGAGACGCGAAAGCGUGGGGAGCAAACAGG